GUGCCCAGCAGGAACCUUUUGCCCUGCUGGGUCAUCCCUUCCUCUUCCCUGCCCUCCAGGUUGGUUCUGUGCCAGCCCAGAGCUGGCAGCUCCAUCUGGGCCCUGCCAGGCUGGGUUCUACUGCACAGGAGGCUCCACAAUCCCAAACCCCAGGGAUGGAGAGCUGGGAGACAUCUGUCCCCAAGGCCACUUCUGUCCUGCAGGGAGUCACUCCCCAUCUCCAUGUCCCCCAGGCUCCUUCUUGCCUCAUCCUGGUGGGCACUCAGCACAGGACUGCCAGCCCUGCUCCCCAGGCUGGUUCUGCUCCCAGCACAGCCUGAGCUCCCCACAGGGUUUGUGUAGGGAAGGAUGGUUCUGCCCUGCAGGCUCUGUGUCAGACCAGCACUCAGAUCAUUUGUGUCCUGUGGGUCACUCCUGCCCCCCUGGCAGCCCAGAGCCUGUGCCCUGUACCCCUGGAGAAUACCAG